rnacentral:lncRNA from 1 species
GUAGUUAGUCCCCCAGGGAAGUGGGCAGCAGGACCUUCUGCACAGGGCGUGUUUUGUCUGUUUCUAAUUCCUGGGAGUGUAUGUUUCCAGCAUCGUGAGAAAAUCAGCUCAGUCCAGACCCAAAAGACACCAGAAAUAACUUCUGCUGAGUCAGGACUGGGUUCUUUUAGGCAGAAACCUAUUCUAUACUGUAAUUCAAGCUUUUCUCUCUUUGGCUUUGUUUUCCUUAACUCCAGAGGAAGAAUAACCUCCGUUUCUCUACACAGAACAAGUUGGAGGCAGUGUCUUCCCUCUUUUCGCCCAAGAAGGUCAGGUUGUAAGCUCCUCUCUUAAACCCAGUCUCCAGAGCUGGGCGUGGUAGCGCAUGCCCUUAAUCUCAGCACCCAGGAAGCGUAGGCAGGCUCUGUGUGUUCGAGGCCAGCCUGAUCAAUGUAGUGUGCUCCAGGACAGCCAGAACUACACACCGAGACUUUGUCUCAAAAAACAAAUGACCCAGUCUUCAGACCCUCAUCUGUCCCGAGUUGGGUUUGGCAUGGGUUAAAAGGAGGGCCACACUGGUGGUUUCUUCCUUCCCCCACAUCCUCUGAAGAUCCUGUAACCUCCUUCUUGUCACACAUGCAAACAUGAGGACUCUUUCUAGGGUCACCUCAGAGUCAGUAAAAAAAAAAAAAGAAAAGCCCAACAUUGGAAAUGGGUUAAAGUCAUCCUUUGGAUUGG